AUGAAUAAAUGCAAGGAAGUAAAUGAAGAGGAAGCGGGGGUCAGAAGGGGCAUGUUUUACGUGAAGAGAUACCAUGCAAAGGCCCUCCUGGGUACCAUCACCAGUGCGGGGCAGCCCGUGAGCCCCUGGAGGGAGGUCUCCCUGACAUCCUGCCCACUCCUCCUGGGGCCAAGCAGGAGUCAUAUCCAAGGGCUGGGUCAUUAUCUGAUACAUGAGUGGGUUGUGCGGAUGAGUAAACAGGGACUGACCCAGAGGUCAGGUGUAACUCAGCCUCAGAAACUGCAUGUGUCAAUAGGAAUCGGAGGGCCAAGGAAUGUGUUUUUCGUUGAUGUCAACUUGCUGCAAAGGACCACACCUGCUUCUCGACCCGGGAACGUGGGAAAGGGAAAGGCACGGCUUGUUUUGGUGGAGAUGGAGGAGCUGGUAACAGUGGAGGAAUGCCCUUCUUCUGAUUCACAGCGGGGAGGUGCUCUGGGCCCCUGCCACUGCCCGAGGACUUCGGGUGAGGUUACCAGGACCGUCAGCCUGAGGAGAAUCAGCUCUUCCGCACCAAAUCCUGAAGAUCACAUGGCAGAGUGAGCCAGAGCGAGGUACCGGCAGACCUCUUAGGUGGGGCAUGCAUCCCCUAGUGUCCCAUGUCCCCACUGUUCCCUGUGGCUAUAUCCAUUUCACUUGACUUACUUUUACUCCUUGUCUAGCUGCUUGUGGCAUUGUUCUUUUUCUCUUUUCUUUUUUUUUUUUGAGACAGUCUCCCACUGUCACCCAGGUUGGAGUACAGUGGAGUAAUCUCGGCUCACUGCAACCUCCACCUCCUGGGUUCAAGAGAUUCUCCUGCCUCAGUCUCCUGAGUAGCUGGGAUUAUAGUUGCCCGCCGCUACGCCCGGAUAAUUUUUGUAUUUUUAGUAGAGACAGGGUUUCACCAUGUUGGCCAGGCUGGUCUUGAACUCCUGACCUCAGGUGAUCCACCCACCUCAGUCUCCCAAAGUGUUGGGAUUACAGGCGUGAGCCACCACGCCUGGCUGGCAUUGAGUUUUCAACUCUUCAUCUAUACCAUAUGUCAGAUCAUUUCCUUCUUCUUGCAAUGACAGCAAAAAUACCGAGGCUUUAAUUACUUACCCUCCUGUAUUUCUGUUUUAUUCCCUCUCCCUAUCGCCAUUUCCAUGCACUCAUGCCCACGCACAGGUUGUAGGAACCAACUAGUAUGUUGCUGGGAGGUCCAGACACUCAAAUGUGAACUUGCUUCUCUCCCUGGAGGGCUUCCAGAUUUAGCAAAUAAACAGGCAAGAUGCUCAGCUAAAUUUGAAUUGAAUUUCAUAUAAAUAGUGAAUACUUUUUCUUUUCUUUUUUUUUUUUUUGAGACAGGGUCUUGCUCCAUUGUCCAGCUAGAGUGCAGUGGCAAGAUGAUGGCUCACUACAGCCUCCAUCUCUUGGGCUUAAGAGCCCUCCCCCAUGGCUCAGCCUGCCCUGAGGCCAGUCCUCGUACAUGGUGCAUGGCUGCCUUCAAGACAUCUCCAAGGAGCCCUCGCUGAGAAGCCCCCUGGUGCACACAUAAAAUCACGUUGCUAUUUAGUUGAAUUUCUUCAUUGUACAGGUUAAGAAAUGGAAGAUGUGACUCUCAAGGAUUAUACACAACUAAAACUGUGUGAAACGGCGAUCAGUACCCGGGCAACAGGGAAGUGGGAAUUUCUCACCAACCCACGUGCCAGGAUCCAGCCUCAACGCUUGUGAGGAUCCAGCCUCAAUGCUCUGCACAUCUCCAGUGUGGAACAGCACCAUGCGCCUAAUGAGUUCUUCUCUGACUGAUUGAUUGAUUGAUUACUAAAACACUCAGCACUCCUGGCAAAGCAGUUCUCACACUGUUGAACAAAUUAUCUUUAUGCACUGCAGUCUCUUGAGCUUAGAUGAAGGCAAACUCACUGUAAUCUUCAGAUCAUUUAGCAAUGCCUUGGAAUCACUGGAUAUGAGAAAAUAUCCAAGCAUGUGGAAUACGAAGGGGGAAGAAAAGCAGGACUUGGAGGGACUGUGCUAGUGGAUUUCAACUCUAUAUUUUCUAAAAUGAACCAGGGGCAGGCAAACUACUACCUUGUAGGCCAAAUCUGGCCAGUGACCUGUUUUAUCAUUGAUUGAUUGAUUGACGGGGGUCUUGUCUUGCUCUGUCACCCAGGCUGGAGUGCAUUGGUUCGAUCAUUGUUCACUGCAGCCUCGAACUCUUGGACUCAAACCAUCCUCCCACCUCAGCCUCCCAAGUAGCUAGGACUACAGGCACACCCCACCACACCUGGCUAAUUUUUUUUUUUUUUUUUUUUUUUUUUGUAGAAAUGGCAUCUUGCUGUGUUACCCAGACUGGUCUUUAACUCCUGGCCCCAAGCGAUCCCUGACUUUAUGGCACUUGCUUAGCCUGGUGUGACAGUGUCUGUCUCCUGGAGGCCAGGAGCCCCUGGCAUGCAGCCAGCGUGCCCCAUUUAUAAUUGUAGCCCAGCACAUGGAAGGGACCCAAGGGAAUGACAGCAACGUUGACUUUGCCAUUUCAACCCUCAACCUCAUUUUAUUGUUCUAUUCGUAUUAUCUGGGGGACAAAAUUUUCCCACAUUCUUUUCUGUUGGUGCCACCAUCUCUGUGCCUCCGUGUGCUGCUGACCCGCCAAGCCCAUGGCCAGCUCAGCACUCGGAUUUUAUGUGGUCUCUCAGUAUGGGUUCCUUUAUCGGCAUCUCAAAAAGCUUUUGUGUUUUAUCCAUAAUUGAUUAAAGGUUUGUAGCUGUGAAUAAAAGAUUGAUUAAAAGUAACAACAGCAAAACAGCUCUUGUUUUUCUUCACCGUCUGCCUUUCCCCAGAAGAGUCUCCUACAUCCGAGCAGACGGUCCUCGAUGUGGAUCCACACAACCUUACGAGUUUUCCUUAGACCCAAGAAAGGGAGGCGUGGGGAAUGAUGGUUACUUGCUGAUACUUACUGA
rnacentral:lncRNA from 1 species